AACCGCCGUUAAACCUCAUCAAAGAAGAAGGUUGUUGGGGCAGGAGUUUAGCAAUCAGAGCUUAGCAACCGUAACCAACCGCUCAGACCUCGGAGACUUUUCACAAAACAUCAUGAUGGCGUAUAUGGGCUACAGGAAUACAUGCUUUUCCUUUCUCUGUUACAAGUGAACCGAAAAUGUUAAAUCGGUGUGCCUGGGGCACAUGUAAUACUGACAGUCGAUACCUGGAGAGGUUAGAGGGUGGUGUGUCUUUUUUUAUAUAUACCCUUUCCAAAACCAAAAUCUGACGGAGAGAGAAGUGUAGUUUGUGGAUAAAGCUUUGUGGACGACUUCAUUCAUAGUUGAACACAUGCAAGAUAAUGAAGGACACAUGUUUGCUCCAAGGUAAGUAACUAUGAAGGACACAUGUUUGCUCCAAGCCAAGUCUUCAGUACCCAAAUCAAGCUGCUGCUAGUACUGCUGGAUGAGAUGCAGUCAUAGGAUGCAGGCCACCUCCAAAAAAAAGAUUAAGAUCUGAUGUGUAAAAUGCGGCUUCCACAAACACCACAGGAGAGACGGCAACCAAAUCACCAGAGGAUAUCGGAGAUGAUACCUCAACAAAGGAGGCCACCGGGGUCAUUGAAAUAGCACGUAUUUGCAUCAUUCCUAUCCGAGAUACAACAUAUAAACUCCUGAAAUCCAUAUGUGUUCAUCUGGAUAGGGACAAUACAGGGAGCAGCCCCAUUUACUUCCUCUGCUGAGAACAGCUUCAGAGCCGAUUGUCCUUCAUCACUUCCUCUGGAUUUAUCUGGAGACUUCUCAGACCUAGAUGGGGUGGUGCGCCAGAGGAGGCAGGACAUGCUGGAGAGCAGCAGCUUGGGCUCCCAGACUCCUGACUAUGAGAAAAGGAGUUUUCCAGCAUCCCAGGCACAUUCCUGAGUUGGAUGAAGAAGGAGAGAUGGUGGUGCAUGCAGACGUCCACCUCCAGACCCCCAACCAAAAGCACGGAGCCGCUCACCAGAAUGAGCCGUCCAAGCCUGCCCAGGGGGUUGAAUUCAAAGUGAAAUUGCUACAGCCGGCAUCAUUGAACAUCUUCUUUUUGUUCCUAGUAAGUGUCCUUGUCUUGUCCUCGUGUUACAUGGCCUUCAAGAUUGUGGCUCUUGAGAAGCGGUUGAACUCGUUGGGUUCCGCACCAAAAACGUUGUGCAUCACAGAUCGCAGGCUGACUUCAAUGCAGAAAUAUGUGGGGAGUUGUCUUCAAACCUUUAAGCUAGAAAAGAUUCAGCGACAUCUCAGGAAGCUACUUGAAGAGACCUGACUGAAGGACCCGUUGGUCGCCUCGCUGGACCGAAGCAGCGCCUCGCUGGACUGAAGCAGUGCCUUCUUAAAACGCUGGUCAAAACACUGCAGAUUUGAUCGGCAAUCUGUUGCCAAAUAACAGAUGGCCACUUCGGAAAAGAGAGCGUUUCUUAAUUGUGCAAUAGCAGUAUCUUCCUUCUCACUCUACUCAGGACAAACACCAUUAUUUUGUAUCUGAUAGCGUACCAGAGGAAUCGAGACAUUUCAGCAACUGUAGCUAGUUUGGUCUGUAAACUUCAAACUCGUGGCUAAUAACUCAGAAUUUCUUCUAAAUCAUGCCUUGAGGUCAAUGGGAGAUUUAUGUAAAUUGAAGUUUGGUGUGCAGAUUUGAAGGCAAGACGCAACCCUUAGUGAAGAGAAGCCAUACGCUUUAGCCUAUGUGUAGUACUGUAUCUGAAGGUUUUCAAUAUUAAUGGGAUUUUUUCAGGUUGAGUAAUUUCAAGGUUUUUCUAAAUAAAUAACAAAAAGGUCAGGCUUGUAAUGCCUACAGUUCAUGUUUCCUUUUGUUGAUACAGAUAUGAAUUGCCAAUACAAUAUUUAUAGUUCUUGCUUCAUUUUUUGUCUCAAACUGUCAUUCAACAUGCCUAAAUGCCGCUAAUAACUCGGUGAAUAGCUUGCAUUUUCAAUAAGCACUUAAUGAUUUAACAUAAUGCCAUGCCGUGUGUUGAGGCUGUCCUAACACCCCUAAACCAGCAGAUGCUGCUCAUUCUAAUUUAUCAAUGUUUGUGUUUUUUCUAGUGGUUUAUCUCAUUAAUCCUUUCCUAAUUUCCUUUAAAAAUCUUUGACAGAGUGGAAGCCCAGAUACUGACCUCUGUCCUGUCAGUGACCCUGCUACUCCCCUUUCUACUGGAGUGCCACAGAUGCAUAGGGAGAUGGGGUGCAUCUCAAUGUCCAACAAUGGUCCCCUACUUUGAGUAGGAUUUGCAUUCAGGCAAAGCAGGGAAAGUGGGAUACCUAAGCUGUGUUCGAAUACCCAUACUAACAUACUGUAUACUACAUACUCAAUUUACGUCACAAAUAGUGCGGUUAGUAUGAGUAUUCGAACACCGCUCUAGUCAUUUGUUCAACUGAAUGCAUUUAACCCAACCCCUCUGAAUCAGAGAGGUGCGGGGGCUACCUUAAUCGACAUCCACGUCAUCGGCGCCCGGGGAACAGUGUGUUAACUGCGAAUGAACUUUGAGUGCGACAAUUCAACCUUCCCACAGAGCAAACUAUAGUCUUGCUUCAUAUUUACUGCUCUUGACUUAGUACUUUUUGACAGCGUCAAGUGAAUGAAAGAUUUGCAUCCUCUUUCAGUGUUCACAUCUCUGAAUACACAGAGCACUGUUGACUUACCAGGGAAACACUUCACACAACCUUGAUACAGGUCAUAUGUUUCAAUUCUGAAGAUAGUCCUGUUGAUCUAUUGUCUUGAAUGUUUUUCUUAUUUUACCAGUUGCGGUGGCAGUUGCUAGGCCUACAAUUAUAGCUACCUCAAAUGCUGACUUGAACUAUCUCAUGCUUAUAUAGUAACUUUACUGGGAU